AUUGAACGCUGGCGGCAGGCCUAACACAUGCAAGUCGAACGAGUGGCGGACGGGUGAGUAAUGUCUGGGAAACUGCCUGAUGGAGGGGGAUAACUACUGGAAACGGUAGCUAAUACCGCAUACCAUCGGAUGUGCCCAGAUGGGAUUAGCUAGUAGGUGGGGUAAAGGCUCACCUAGGCGACGAUCCCUAGCUGGUCUGAGAGGAUGACCAGCCACCCUGGAACUGUGACACGGUGCAGACGCCUACGGGAGGCAGCAGUGGGGAAUAUUGGACAAUGGGCGCAUGCCUGAUGCAGCCAUGCCGCGGUGAUGACGAAGGCCUUCGGGUUGUAAAGUACUUUCAGCGUAUAGGCGUUACCCGCAGAAGAAGCACCGGCUAACUCCGUGCCAGCAGCCGCGGUAAUUC
rnacentral:rRNA from 1 species